UCGCUAAGUACAUGGCAAGUCGAGCGGGACAGGAAGGGAGCUUGCUCCCGGAUGUUAGCGGCGGACGGGUGAGUUACACGUGGGUAACCUGCCUGUAAGACUGGGAUAACUCCGGGAAACCGGAGCUAAUACCGGAUAGUUCCUUGAACCGCAUGGUUCAAGGAUGAAAGACGGUUUCGGCUGUCACUUACAGAUGGACCCGCGGCGCAUUAGCUAGUUGGUGAGGUAACGGCUCACCAAGGCGACGAUGCGUAGCCGACCUGAGAGGGUGAUCGGCCACACUGGGACUGAGACACGGCCCAGACUCCUACGGGAGGCAGCAGUAGGGAAUCUUCCGCAAUGGACGAAAGUCUGACGGAGCAACGCCGCGUGAGUGAUGAAGGUUUUCGGAUCGUAAAGCUCUGUUGUUAGGGAAGAACAAGUGCAAGAGUAACUGCUUGCACCUUGACGGUACCUAACCAGAAAGCCACGGCUAACUACGUGCCAGCAGCCGCGGUAAUACGUAGGUGGCAAGCGUUGUCCGGAAUUAUUGGGCGUAAAGGGCUCGCAGGCGGUUUCUUAAGUCUGAUGUGAAAGCCCCCGGCUCAACCGGGGAGGGUCAUUGGAAACUGGGAAACUUGAGUGCAGAAGAGGAGAGUGGAAUUCCACGUGUAGCGGUGAAAUGCGUAGAGAUGUGGAGGAACACCAGUGGCGAAGGCGACUCUCUGGUCUGUAACUGACGCUGAGGAGCGAAAGCGUGGGGAGCGAACAGGAUUAGAUACCCUGGUAGUCCACGCCGUAAACGAUGAGUGCUAAGUGUUAGGGGGUUUCCGCCCCUUAGUGCUGCAGCUAACGCAUUAAGCACUCCGCCUGGGGAG
rnacentral:rRNA from 1 species